AUUGAACGCUGGCGGCAGGCCUAACACAUGCAAGUCGAGCGGAUGAGAGGAGCUUGCUCCUUGAUUUAGCGGCGGACGGGUGAGUAAUGCCUAGGAAUCUGCCUGGUAGUGGGGGAUAACGUUCCGAAAGGAACGCUAAUACCGCAUACGUCCUACGGGAGAAAGCAGGGGACCUUCGGGCCUUGCGCUAUCAGAUGAGCCUAGGUCGGAUUAGCUAGUUGGUGAGGUAAUGGCUCACCAAGGCGACGAUCCGUAACUGGUCUGAGAGGAUGAUCAGUCACACUGGAACUGAGACACGGUCCAGACUCCUACGGGAGGCAGCAGUGGGGAAUAUUGGACAAUGGGCGAAAGCCUGAUCCAGCCAUGCCGCGUGUGUGAACAAGGUCUUCGGAUUGUAAAGCACUUUAAGUUGGGAGGAAGGGCAGUAAGCUAAUACCUUGCUGUUUUGACGUUACCGACAGAAUAAGCACCGGCUAACUUCGUG
rnacentral:rRNA from 1 species